ensembl:lncRNA
GGAAGGGUGGCAGGAGGUGACCCAGGCUCCUGGUCAGGGACUCUGUCUGUGUCCUUCAGGAUGGAGGGUCCUGGUGCUGCCGCCUCAGGGCUGCUGUGGAGCCCCGGUGCCCCCUCGUCCUGGAGAGGAGGGGGAGGGUCACUGAGACCAGGACGGGGGAGGCCGGGAGGGACUGCCUUGUGGGAGCAGGUGCCGAGGUCUGGGGGUGCUGUGUGGGGGCAGGUGCUGGGUUCUGGGGCUGCCGUGUGUGGGCAGGUGCCGAGGUUUCGGGGUGCCAUGUGUGGGCAGGUGCUGAGUUCUGGGGCCACCAUGUCGGGGGAGGUGCUGGGUUCUGGGGCUGCCGUGGGGGCAGGCGCCGGGUUCUGGGGGCUGCAGUGUGGGGGUGGGUGCUGUGUCCUCAGGCUCUGGCCGCUGGAUCUGAGGACCUGGAGGAGACCUUCCUGUAGGCUGCCCACAGCAUCCACGCUCUCGUGUGAAAGUGUGUCGGGGCCACUUCCGGCCAACGGGAGGGCAAAGAGGGAACGGGGUUGCUCUCUGGGCUCUGGCUCUGCCCACCCCUGGGCAGUGAACUUGGGUAAGUCACUGAAACUCCAGUUUCCAAAAGGACAUGCAGUUGGUAAGGACCCCAGGAGGUCUGAAGUACCCCGCUCAUGGGUGCCGUAUUUCUGAAUCUUUUAAGCAACUCAUUGGGUAAACAAAGUCACGAUGACUACUCAGGGGUGAGGAGGGAUGUCACCCCUGCUGGCAGGCACACCGCAGUGUCAGGAGCUAGACAGUCUCCCCCAGCACCCCAGCCCCUGGAGCGCUCACUCCAGAGGGAUUUCCUCACUGCCGGGCACUGCUCUGCGAGACCGAAUCUGCAGGCGAGGCUCAGGGGUCCGGGCGACUCCAGGAGCAGGCUCUCCACCUGCCUGGCCGAGAGGGUCUCCUGUCCCGGUGGGAGCAGGGGUGGGAGAUAGACCACACGUCCCUAAUCGCUUACCCUAAUCGCUUCCUGGAGAGCAGGUUUCUGCAGAAAAAAGGAGACACACACGGCUCAGGAGACCCCAGAGAAUCAGUCGGGGCCGACACUUCACGUGACCCCAGGAAGGACAUUUAGCGUUCUCUAAAUUGGCUCUGCUGCCCGUCCCAGCGCGGGGCCCGGGCAGGAUCAGGCGAGGGUGUACUCCCUACCAUGGGGCGUGAGCGUGAAGAUCUUCUCCGGGUCGAACCCUUUGUCUCUCGCGAACGUCUUAAAAUCCUCCAGGGCCCCCUGGUUGUUCUCCGCGUCUCUUCCUGUCAGUGAAAUCAGGAGAUGCGAGGGUGAGGGGCAGAACGGGAGCAGGCUGGCAUCUCCAGCCCAGCCUGGGGCAGAGAUGGAUGGGCCGCCGCAGAGCUGGGGCAGGAGACCAUGCGCCCACGUCGGGGCUGGACCCCGAGGUCCCUCCGGCCGGGAGGAGGGCUCGGCUGGAAAGAGAGGACUGGGAGCUGUGAGUGCCCAGUGGGCGCCGUGCGGCAGGCCUGGGAGGAACGGGGUGCUCUUCAUGAGCACACCUGGGGGUCUCCUGGAGUGAGGACGACCGGCAGGACCUGCCCAGCCACAGAGGAGAGUACUUCCCCUCGGGGCCCCCGGACCCCGUGCUGUCCCCUCUGGACUGACUUCCGCUGCGCUCCUGGCUGUGGGGAGCAUGCAGGAGAGCACCUGGGGGCCCCUUGUCUUCAGGCCGAGACAGUCCUGAUGCCCCAAUGCCUCCUUGAGCUCCCCCCAUCCCGGAAUUAAGCCCCAGGAUCUGGAAUUUCCUUCCCUUGCAGCUCCAUGCACACACUGCUCUUCUCCCCCGUGGGAGACCCCAAAGGAACGGUGCUGAGGUGGACACUGCAAGGGGUGGUCCCUGUGAACGAGUGGCCCACCCAGUGACAUCUGUGACAUUUGGAUCCCUGUCCCCACAGUGGUCCUCUGCCCUCCUGUGUUCCCACUGCAGACACCGAGACUGGGAAACCCGGAUCCUGAGCUCCAGGGAUGGGAAUGAGUGCUCCCUUCAGGAAAAGCAGUUGGAAGGAGCCGCCGGUGGCUUCUCCUAAGAGGAGGAGGCACGGGGAGGAGGGGGAGGGAGGAGGGUUUGCAGGCACUGGGAUGCGGGACCCUCACCCACGAGCUUCGCCAUCCGGAUCUGCUUCCCCCGGAGCUCGCCUUCACAGUAAAGAACGUAGUGGUCCAUCACGUUCGACGGCGAGAUGUGCACCACGCGCCUGCCCUCGUCUGCGGAAGGACGGUGGCACGAGCUGAAUAAGCCAUGUGACCCUCCAGGAAGACCUGGAGCUCGCCCAGCGCCCAGCCUGGUGGACCCUCCAGUUUCCACAUGCUCCCAGCUGCUCAGGCCGUGAGGUCUCCACCUCUUGAGGACCCAACACACCGGGAGAGCCCCAUACCAGAAAGAGGGUCACAUCCCCAACCAACGGACCACAGAGAGGUUUCGGGGCAUGGAGUUGGAGCAGGUCGGAGUGUGGGGUGCUCAGUCCCCAACAACCAGAUACGACUCUGCUCCUCGCCCCUGACGUGGGCACAGCCAUAACCCAGCGGGGCCCCUGGGCGGUCCAGUCCCUCCUGGGACAAUGUGUCCCUCCUGGCUCUUAGUGUCAAGUGAUCAUAUCUUCAGGGCAAACUGACCAGAGGGAGGAGAGGGUGUACAUUUAAUGGGGUCAGAAAGGAGCGGGGCUUCUCAGGCUAAAAUGCCUCCCCAGAAAUGCGCAGGCUGCCCCCGGCUCCCCCAGUGUGUGGGGCACCACCCGGCUGGGGCUCCAAGACUCACCGGCCGUGUAUUUGCCGGGCUCAUUGGUUUUCUCCAGCACCAGUUUCGUCUCCUGGCACUGACCCCUCACCCUGGAACACAGAAGCCAUGUGGUGAUGCUGCCGUGGGUGUACCCACUUUGGAAACACAGCCAGCCCCGGUAGGGCCCCCGCCUUGGAGCAGCCGCAGGGCAAAGCCCGUAACGGUGGCCUGGGAUCCAAAGUGGGCCUGGCGGGGGAGCACGUUUCUCCCACCUCAAGUCCAGGCACUGACUGGGCCUUCAGUCAUGCGUGACAGCUCCCUGGGGCUCCCUCCAGGUGGGGGGUGGGGUGCAGCCCCCUCAAUCAGCCAGCACUGCCCCUCACGGCCCACGAGGCCCAUCCGCGGCCCCUCCCCUCCUCAGUGCCCUAAGUCUGGGGAUCUCUCCCCUGCACGGUGCCCCUGCAUGAGGCACCCUCCAUGGCGGUGCCCCCUCAAAGCUGCCAGGGCUGAGUGCUGUAGGAGGGCCUGAGAAGGACACCGGCGUGGUCUGCCUGCCCCACAGAUGCUGGCUCUCCUGGUGUGGGGAGGGAAGGCCGAGGGUCGUUGCCAGCUACCCAGCCGGCUGACACUCACUUCACGGUCGCUUUGGCCUCCAGGUUGCCCCCCUCCAGGACCGUGAGGAUCAUGGGAGUCACCAACUCAGGCUUCUCCCCGGGAAUCUCCUGGUCAGCGGUCACGGCCUUCAGAUACCAUUUCCCUGAGACCUGGGGAUGUUCCCCCCAUCAGGGCUCCGGCCGACCCCACGGCCUCCCCCUCCCGCUCUGCAGCCCCAGACUCUACCCCACCCCCAGGGCUGGGGGCUUGGAGCGCUUCCCAGCCCACCCCCCCCCACCCCCCCCAGCUUAUGCCCAGCACCCUCGCCAGACCCACCCAGAUGCCGGCUCCGGGCCCCUGCAGGUCAGCGAGACCACCGGUGCCCUUGCUCCCAGGGGCCCUCUGCAUCCUGGGACCAUCGGGCACAGACUCCUCUGUCUGACCAUUCCCUCAGGGCCAGGGGUUAAUGCCUGAUCCUAAAAUGAGUGUCUCUGCCCCUCCCCACGCCGCCUCCAGCCAGCCUGCCCCAUCUGAGCCUCACGUCCGGAGUCUCCUCGCCCAAGGCCAGGGGGUCCUUGGCCUGCAGGGCAGCAAUGAGGCUGAGGCCGAUGGUCAGGAGCAGGGUCUUCAUCUCCAGGGGUCUGUGCUCACGGCCACCUGACAGGUCACUUGCUGGGGUCGGAGAGGCUGUGCCGGCCUCUCACACAGCCACCCUUUAUACCCGCUGGCCCAGGGUCCCACGGGAACUUGGCACAGACAAUUGACAAUCCCUUCCUGGCCAUAAACCGUGGCCAGUUCCGCAGUGGAGCAGAUGAAAUGUCAGUAUUGUUGGACGUUGCUGAACGGCUCUGGUUAACCACGAAGGGUCAUCGAGGCAGCGCCACCAUCUAGAGGGACGGAUCUGCAGGCAGCAUCGAGGAGGGGCAGUCGGAGUGCAGGAGUGGAGGCUUCCGUGAGCAGAGGCACCGAGGGACGUGAGCGGUGCCAGCGGCCCCCCUCCCGCCCGUCACCGCAGGCUGGGCUGACCAGCUCGCUGCCAGAGAGGAUGUGGGCUGGACCUUAGAGCCACGGGCUUGGUUACAGCUGGCCCUCCUGGGUUAGGCUACUUAACUUCAGAUUCAGCAUCAAGAAAGAGGGACCUACUAUGUGAGCGUGACGACGGGUGUGUUUAAAGAGCAUGUCUACACUCCUGACAAGAUGUGCAAUAAGUAGUCACUUUGACACACCCUCUCUGCUCCAUGUACAGAGGAGCAGCAGAUGAGAGAUAAAGAAUGCAAACCAGGACACGUAGAUGGAAAUGUGAACAUAUGUAUACACACACACAUUCACACACACGUGCACACACACAUGCAUACAUAGGCACACAUGCAUACACAUGUGCAUACACACGGACACACGCGUGCACACAUACGUAUACACAGACACACAUUCACACAUGCGUGCAUACACACAGAGAUACGCAUACACAGAGACACGCAUUCACACACACAUACACGUUUACACAUAUGCAUACACAUUCACACACAGACACAUAUGCAUACACAUAAGCACAUAUGCAUGCACACAGAUACACACAUGCAUACACACUCACACUCAUUCACUCAGACAUGCACAUACAUACAUGCUCACACACACACAUCAAAUCAGGACGCAGGAGCAGCACAGCCUGGUGAGUGGGGCUGCAGCCCUGGCCCGGCAGGUGAGAGGACGUGAUGUCACCUCCAAAGCAGACGGGAGACGAGCCGUCCUCCGAGCAGUGACUUUCUCUGUGAGUCCCCACACCCCCCUGUCGGGCAGCAGAACAGACGCCUGGGCCGGGAGUGGGAGGCAGAGGCUACGACAAAACUGGCAGACGGAGCACGAUGACAACAAGGUGACAGAGGGGCAAGCCUGCGUGGGUUCUGCAUCCCGCCCGAAAGGGAGCUGGUGCCCCACGCUCCAAAUCACCCACAGCAAGACCAGGUGAAGAGAGACAGGCUCAAGGUGAGCGGUCUGGACCGGAACUCACUCCGGGGAGCAGGACGAGUGAAGACGCUUUAGAAGAGGAGCGUGAUGAGGACGCCUGGAGACGAGACAGGACGAGAAACCGUGAAAUGAGAGCGGCCAGAGCGUGGACAACGAGGAGACAGGAAAUAGGAACAAUGAUAAACAUCGAAGGUGGACACUGUAGUAAAUAGAAAACUCAAAAGCCAGUGAAAGUAAGCUACACACAUGAAAUUGGCUCUUUGGGGAAAACACAUUAACUAGAUCGACUUCUAGGGAGACUGCUGGAAACAUUGGGAAAGAACAACUGAAUGGCAUCGGGAGUGACGCGGGACGUGAGCUGAGGCAGACGAGAGCGGCUGAGCGGCUGUGCAGGUGUGCGGAUGGCAGGCAGGCCGCAGGGGUCAGCCUCAGAGACCGGGGGAGGGGGGAGAGGUGCGGUCACAGGGCGACACCGACGGCUCAGAGGGUGGAAGAGACGCCCAGGAACAGCCCUGGGCGGAGCCGGGAAAGCAGGCGCACAGCACAGCGGGCAAGAGCACUUGUGGGGAAAACACUACAGGAGUGGAACUGGGUGUCCACGUGGGAAAGACACACAAGCUCACCUCCCCACCUCACAUCGCUCACAAUUAUUCCAGCCAGAUUUAAAGGCUUACGUACGAAAAGCAAACCUUUCAAACCCUGUAAAGGAAACAAGGGCUGACACCUUUGCAGCCCAGAGACAGACCCCCCCGAGCUGUGAGGGAAGCGCUGAAGGGACCACAAAGGUCAAAGGUCAGCCUGGAGGGAAUGUCUGCAAUGGGCGCGACUGCUGUGGGGCUUCGAGAUGGAGAGCACACGGACGGACAGACGGACCAAAGAGUUAGGAAACGACAACCGGGGGAGAGCAAACGGGACAGGCAAUCACAAGGAGGGGCCGGGGCCGCCGGGCUCCUGAGGGUGCUCAGCGUCACUGCCGACUGGAACCAAGUGGAGACGCCGUCUCGGAGCCCCUCUGACAACAGGCGUCGCUGGGAUGUGGCUCUCGGCAGCUCUCACCGUCUGCGUCUGGGCGUGAACUGUGCCCCACGUGAGAGCAAUGGCAACCACCAGCAACAUUGCAGGCUCGCAUGCCUGGGGUCCCGCAGUUCUGCGGCCUCACACAGACACUAGACGUCCCCCUUGGGCCUCCUCCACGCUGCAGCCAGGUGCUCCCGUGAUCACGAGAUUCUGUCAAUUUGUGGAGCCAUCUCUCUCCUCGUGUUCAGGGGCCGAGGGCAGUUUUGGGUUCAGUGGGACGUGUUGAAGGUAACGGUCACUUUAGUGCCGAGCUGGCUUCCCGGGUCGUCUUGGUUUUCGGGAAUAUUCCUGCCGCUGCUCUGGACUGACGCACAUGGCGUCCUGACCCACCUGUGUCAGCUACGGGUCACAACACAGAAGGCACAUGAGCGGUGGGGGGAGACGCCAGCUUCAUUCUGCGUGAAGCCCGAGGCGAGUGUGCGGUCAGUUCCCUCACGCCCCCGGGGUGGACGCCUGUGAGCCGGGUUCAGUUCUCAGUGAAGUCUGGUCAAACGCGAGCCCGCUCUGUCCCAACUGCUUGACGGUGCAACGUGUGUCAACGCACCACACGCUUUUAUGCUGUUUAGAUGGAAACCACACAAAACAGAACUGAUCAGAAUUCUAUUUAUGGACCAAAGACCCACAGCAGAACCACAGUGAGCACAUACAUCCGUGUCGGAAGUUACGUGUCUUCUGCAUCCCAACAUCAGUGAUAAAAAAGGAAUUUCGAUCUCCCGUGCGGGGCAGAGUGUGAGUUAUCUUUACGGGAAUAGUGGAACAGUAGUUUCAGAGGAAUCAGGAGCAGCGGCUGAAAGACCAGGAAAAGGAGGUUUCUAGAGGUGGGCCGGGCGGCAGGGAGUCGGAGUGGGUGGUGGUUCCUGGAUUUGGUGAUGUUCAUGGUACUUAUCAGCUUUGUGUGUGUGUGUGUGUGUGUGUGUGUGUGUGUGUGUGUGUGUGCUCUGAGCUAACACGUGUGCCCAUCUUCCUCCGUUUUGUAUGUGGGACGCCGCCACAGCGUGGGUUGAUAGGCAGUGCUGGGUCUGCAUUCGGGAUCCGGAACCUGCAAACCCCAGACCGCCGAAGCAGAGCACGUGAACUUAGCCACUCUGCCACCGGACCAGCCCCCUUAUCAGCUUUUUAAAUAUGUGAGUUUUCUGAGUCUUUUUCUCACUCCAAAUAAAUAUUUCUCAUAUCUAA